GGCUCAGGAUGAACGCUAGCGACAGGCCUAACACAUGCAAGUCGAGGGGCAGCGGGGCUGAAGCUUGCUUCAGCCGCCGGCGACCGGCGCACGGGUGAGUAACGCGUAUGCAACCUGCCCGCCAUAGUGGGAUAAGCCGGAGAAAUCUGGUCUAAUACCACGUAGGACAGAGACGGGCAUCCGUUUCUGUUGAAAGGGUUAUCCGUUGGCGGAUGGGCAUGCGUCUGAUUAGCCAGUUGGCGGGGCAACGGCCCACCAAGGCGACGAUCAGUAGGGGUUCUGAGAGGAAGGUCCCCCACAUUGGAACUGAGACACGGUCCAAACUCCUACGGGAGGCAGCAGUGAGGAAUAUUGGUCAAUGGCCGCAAGGCUGAACCAGCCAAGUCGCGUGAGGGCAAGACGGUCCUAUGGAUUGUAAACCUCUUUUGCCGGGGAGCAACGUGCGCCACUAGUGGCGUUGUGCGCGUACCCGGAGAAUAAGCAUCGGCUAACUCCGUGCCAGCAGCUGC
rnacentral:rRNA from 1 species